rnacentral:rRNA from 1 species
GAUGAACGCUAGCUACAGGCUUAACACAUGCAAGUCGAGGGGCAACAUGGUCUUAGCUUGCUAAGGCCGAUGGCCACCUGCGCACGGGUGCGUAACACGUAUCCAACCUGCCGUCUACUCUUGGACAGCCUUCUGAAAGGCAGAUUAAUACAAGAGGUCAACGUGAGUCCGCAUGUUCACAUGAUUAAAGGUAUUCCGGUAGACGAUGGUGAUGCGUUCCAUUAGAUAGUAGGCGGGGUAACGGCCCACCUAGUCUUCGAUGGAUAGGGGUUCUGAGAGGAAGGUCCACUACAAUGGAACUGCGGCACAGUCCAAACUGGUACGGGAGGGAGCAGUGAGGAAGAUUAGGCAAUGGGCGCUGGCCUGAAAAAGCCAAGUAGCGUGAAGGAGGACUGCCGUAGGGAUUGUAAACUGCUUUGAUAAAGGCAUAUAGGCGGGUAAGUAGACGCGAUUGCAGGUACUUUAUGAAUAAGGAUCGGCUAACUACGUG